CCUACGGGUGGCAGCAGUAGGGAAUAUUGCUCAAUGGAGGAAACCCUGAAGCAGCAACGCCGCGUGGAUGAUGAAGGUUUUCGGAUUGUAAACUCCUUUUUUUAUAGAAGAUAAUUACUGUAUCUAACGAAUAAGCACCGUCUAACUCCGUUCCAGCAGCCGCGGUAAUACGGAGGGUGCAAGCGUUACUCGGACUAACUGGGCGUAAGGAGCGCGUAGGCGGGAUAGCAAGUCAGAUGUGAAAUCCUAUGGCUUAACCAUAGAACUGCAUUUGAAACUGUUAUUCUAGAGUAUGGGAGAGGUAGGUGGAAUUCUUGGUGUAGGGGUAAAAUCCGUAGAGAUCAAGAGGAAUACUCAUUGCGAAGGCGACCUGCUAGAACAUAACUGACGCUGAUGCGCGAAAGCGUGGGGAGCAAACAGGAUUAGAUACCCGGGUAGUC
rnacentral:rRNA from 1 species